AGCCAGUGGGGUGUAGUGGUUUGAGCAUUGGACUAGAACUCUGGAAACCAGGGUUCAAGUCCCUGAUCGGCUG
rnacentral:tRNA from 1 species